AUUCACCAUGUACAACUUAGCAAUCUGUGUGCAGCCCGGGAGUGCUUAGUCUAGAAGUUUAAUGCAUUCCUACGACGUAUUAUUCUGUAGUGCGUAGUAUACGUAACACGUUCUAAUUUAAUAAAAGAUUUUAAUAAGAGGCCUACAAUGUGUAAUCGUUGCGCAUGUAAAACUCGCGUCAGCGAUUUAUACGUAAGAAGAAUUAUACGUAAGAAGAAGCUGUGAUAAUGUCAGGACGGUUCAAGGAAGAAUUUGUAUCUGCCAAAAAAAUCUUCAGACGUAUCUCUUGGCAUUUAUUGCUUCCUUCUCAGGGAGAUGUCUGUUGGUCGCGUGCCUUGUUGUUCUAAUAAUAGCCGUAACGCUAUGCACACGAGUCAAAGACCAAUUGGUAGAAACCAAACCUAUAGGUUCUGCUGGUCUCGAGUGAACGGUUUCGAGAGCGAUCGGCACAUCUCGGGUUUUGUUCCGACAAUUGAACGACUAUCGUAGAACCUGGAUGAGCUUCAUGAGCACACAUACACACACAUAUACGAAUAUUGUGGUAGCUCGUCCCGAGAAGAGUUCGAUUACUUGGUGGACUGUGGGAAAAUUGAAACGUGUAACAAUCUUAUUUAAAAUAUAUCGAAAUAGCUCAUACAUAUACGCGCAAACGAAGAGCAGCCGUUUUCCGAGUCAGCCGAGACCAAUAAAAUAGACAGAACGAAUGACAAAGAGCAAGAGAACAAAGCUAUCACCACCGUCACUCGAAGCUGAGUCAUCUAAACAUUCGAAAACGAUGAGUCGUGCAACUAGCGGAAAUUGGAAUCUUUAUAUUUUAAAAAAGGAUGAAUUUUAUUACAACACGAUACUGUUAUUAUGACAAAUGGAAGAGCUCAUUUACCGAUGGAAAAAUUAGCGAUUAUGUUGAGUAAAUUUCAACUUAAAUACUCUUCAUCAGUCUUAGGAAUAACGAGGUGAAAUUCCUCGGCUGAUCUGCUGUGACCGUUAUUAUUUAACAUAAAGUAGACCGAUGGAGUCUGCGGUUGAAUCCAUCCAUUAAUCAAAAAGAUUUUAGCGCUUCAAAAAGAUGUCGCAUUUCUCCUUAUUAGAAAAAGGUAAACGGGGUGUAAUUUAAUUUCUUGUCAACCAAUCAUUCAUCGGCUUCCAGCAAUGGCUUUAGUUUCGUGCUCAUUCGUACUCGUUACUUAUUUUACCAAUUCGAGUUGAAUUCGGGAAAAUUCAAUUAGAACUUGUCACGAAUUCGUUAAUAUCGAUUUCACGGACUUGAAAGGUUCGAUAUUAACGGGACUUCACCGUACUAACUUUCUGAUUUAAACAUAAAUUUCAUUUUCUAUUAAAGCGUUUACUAUUACCUAUUUUAUAUAAACUACGAUAGCACGCGUUAAAUUAACGUUGCAUGGCCGAUACUGGCUUGGCUUCUAGUCCUUCUAUGUGAAAUCAUGUCAACAGAAAUACCGAAUCUUUUAUUUGACUUGUACCAUGGUGAGAGUUCGACAACAAUUUAAGUGACUCGUACGACUUAUACGGCGAAUUUAGAUGGAUUCUUCCGCCUACCUAUUAGUUGUAAAGGAAAGUUAAUUAGUAACGAUGAAAAAUAUAUGGUCCCUUUGUAGAAAAAAAAAUCUUCCGAGGUAUGAGAACUUUUAUCAUAGUUCGUUCAUUGGUUGCACAUUAAAUGUAAUUUUCUCAUUAAUUACUUUUUUAAUCUAGGGGGAGUUAGUACAGAGAAAAGAUGGAGAAAAGUUUGUCAAUACUUUCUUAAUUCUCUCCCGAAGCUUUACUAAAGAUGUUUACAAUUUACUGUAAAUUCAUGGCUCUAUUAUUCGAAAAGAUGUUCUUAGGUAAUACGAUAUCUAAGAUUGAAAAAAAGAAAAAAUGUCAGACAAAUGUUGUCAAUUAAAUAAAUGGAACUAAUGAAACUUUAAUAUAAAUAGAUUCUAGCUGCCAGAGAAUUCGGAAAUGUGUAGCGCUAUAUUGCUUUAUAGGCAGUUUUUUUAUGUUUAGAGUAUAAAAUUUGGCUUCAAAUUAGAUGUAGCGUUAUUAAUUUGAAUACGUAAUUCGACAAUAAAUUGACGUAAAAUUUUUGUUAAAAAACACGUACAUCGUGUCAGUAUAAUUAAAAAGGACAUAUUUUUUCGAAACAUUUUUUAUAUGAUACCAUAAAUGUAAUUGGAACAGGAGGAUCAAUUAAUUCUUGCUCUAUAUCUCUUUCAUGACUUUUACAGUAUAGUAACUUAUCUGAUUUUUGUUCUCGUAAAGCUAGUACAUGCUUUGAAUAUAUUAAAACAGUUUAAUUAAAAUUAUUAAAACAGUAAGAAUUUAUAAAAAUUAAUGACAGAAAAUUGUCCUUACUUUAUCGUAAUAACCUCCUUUGCAUGAUAUUUUUUAUGAAGUAAUCGAAGAAACUAUUAUAUUUCUAGAUACUUUUAUAUAAAAAUAAAGAUUUUCAUCGACAAUGAUCAUGAAUAGUAUACAUUUUACAAAUUUUCUACUCUUCUAAAUAUACUUUCUGACAAACGUUGCAGGUUUUAUUACAAUAUCUGUUUUCGAACUUACGUAUUUUUACGUCCACGAUAAAUUCGAAAUUAAGAAUAAAAUGCAAGAUAAAAUUUGAAUUUUAAAGAGAGUUAUUAUACUAGAAAAUAAUAAAAACUACAAAAUGUGUAAUUAUUGGAUAUGUUCGUUGUAGAAAUUUGUAUUUGUAGAUAUUAAUAUCGAUAAGUGUAGUUUUUACUGAUGGCCUCGUACGAACUAUCAGUCCACUUGGGAAUUAGAAAGCAUGACCGACAUAACUCCAUGAUAGUGAAAUUCUAUCGGUAGAAGGUAUCGUGAAAAAUGGAAUUAUCCGGAAACCAUGCUAGCUGGCAAAUGGAAAGGGAGUUAAGCGGCCUUCGUCCAGCAAAUAAUUGAUGCACGUCAAUUAGAUUUGUCAGGGUGAUCGUUGCAAUGAAAUUAACAGGAACACCAGCCAUAGACACGUACAUGUACAAUGUACAUACUGGUGAUAGAUAUAUACAUGCAGACUGUUUUACGUACAAGGUGUAUUUCGAAUCAGUUGAUACUGAAUUCGAUAUGUUUGUUAGACAAGCUUCUAAUAAGUUUUUAGGAUAUACAAUAUACUUAUUUCAAUGUGGAGUAAUACCAUUUUUCCCAUAUAUUUUCAAUAUAUUGAAAAGGGCCACAUAAUAAGUAAACUAUCGCAAAAAAAGUGUCGCAAAUAAUUCCAAGUACUUUUAAUUCUACCUUAAAACCACCAAAACCUAACGUUAAUCUAGCAUAAACUGCAUGAAAUUAUUAGCGAGUAAUAGAAAUUAAACUAGAAAUAAAUCUAACCCUGAA